rnacentral:rRNA from 1 species
AUUGAACGCUGGCGGCAUGCUUUACACAUGCAAGUCGAACGGUAACAGGUUAAGCUGACGAGUGGCGAACGGGUGAGUGAUGCAUCGGAACGUGCCCGGCCGUGGGGGAUAACGCAGCGAAAGCUGCGCUAAUACCGCAUACGAGCUGAGGAUGAAAGCGGGGGACCGUAAGGCCUCGCGCGAUCGGAGCGGCCGAUGUCAGAUUAGGUAGUUGGUGGGGUAAAGGCCCACCAAGCCGACGAUCUGUAGCGGGUCUGAGAGGACGACCAGCCACACUGGGACUGAGACACGGCCCAGACUCCUACGGGAGGCAGCAGUGGGGAAUUUUGGACAAUGGGCGAAAGCCUGAUCCAGCAAUGCCGCGUGCAGGAAGAAGGCCUUCGGGUUGUAAACUGCUUUUGUACGGAGCGAAAAGGUCCUUUUUAAUACAAGGGGCUCAUGACGGUACCGUAAGAAUAAGCACCGGCUAACUACGUGCCAGCCGCCGCGGUAA